rnacentral:rRNA from 1 species
GAAGGCGACGACCUGUAAAGUCGGGAGCCAGCGACAGGUGCUGCAUGGCUGUCGUCAGCUCGUGCCGUGAGGUGUUGGGUUAAGUCCCGCAACGAGCCGCAACCCUCGUCCUUAGUUGCUAACAGUUCGGCUGAGCACUCUAGGGAGACUGCCUUCGCAAGGGAGGAGGAAGGUGAGGACGACGUCAAGUCAUCAUGGCCCUUACGGCCAGGGCUACACACGUGCUACAAUGGGGCGUACAGAGAGCUGCGAUACCGCGAGGUGGAGCCAAUCUCUUAAAGCGUACUCUCAGUUCGGAUUGUUCUCUGCAACUCGAGAACAUGAAGCUGGAAUCACUAGUAAUCGCAGAUCAGCUAUGCUGCGGUGAAUACGUUCCCGGGUCUU